UACGUAGGGCGCAAGCGUUGUCCGGAAUUAUUGGGCGUAAAGAGCUCGUAGGCGGCUUGUCACGUCGGGUGUGAAAGCCCGGGGCUUAACCCCGGGUCUGCAUUCGAUACGGGCUAGCUAGAGUGUGGUAGGGAAGCGGAAUUCCCGGUGUAGUGGUGAAAUGCGUAGAUAUUGUGAGGAACAUCGAUGGCGAAGGCAGCUCGCUGCCUGUUACUGACGCUGAGGCGCGAAAGCA
rnacentral:rRNA from 1 species